rnacentral:sRNA from 1 species
CCUGCAUUUCCGGAAUCUUCCAUCGCACAAUCGCCUGCCACAGAGCGGCAGAGCUCCCGCAACCGCAGGGCUUUUGCCGCCUGGUGCCCUCGACCGCCUCCGGGUGAUGGCGUUGGAAUGGCUUGGAUCCCAAUCUGUCGGAUUGCUACAAGUUUCCCUAUUUUUCCCGAUUUGCUCCAUAUCGGUGCCUACGGCUUGAUUUCCCCCCUUCAUCCCCACUGCUGAAAAAUUCUUUUAUUCGGACAGGCUGAAAUUGGUGAGGUGAGUUUGUAGUUUGCGCGGCUGUGAUGCGAUGCGAUGCGAUGCGAUGCGAGAGCGCAAAGACGGCUGGCUGGGCUAUUCAGUCUAUCAUGAAUAAUGAAUGGCCCUGAAUGAAGUUGAUCUUGAUCCAAAUCCCGAUCUCGCGACUGAUGACAGCUGCAUGUUUCGCUCUGUUCCUGCGGGGACGACGGGACAUGCGCUGCACUGCGCUGCGCUACGUCUACUGCAAAAAUUGAUGCAUUGAAGUCCCCGAUUCGACGGGUGACGGGUAGGGUGUGGGGGAUGGGUGGAACUCGCACAGUAAAAAGCGUGGAUUUCAUAGGACGACACUCUUGAAACGGAGGCUGGGAAGAGAGAAACAUUUCAGGCAAUGGGCAUCAACGAGCCUUGGAAGCGAGGUCGCGGCUGAUGAAUCGGAGCUCCUGUUUGCCCUCCGGGGACGCCCCCACUACAAGACAUCAGGGGUGUGAUUUCCUUUUCUUUUCUUUGGUUUGUUUGUUUUUGUUUCCCUCCAGGAUAUAUAUAUAUAUAUCUAUUCAUUUUCAAUUUUAUAUAUAUAUAUAUAUGUCAAGACAAGCGCGCUCCGCCCU